UUUGAAGAAACUUCGAUAAAACGAUAUAUAGCUCACCACCAAGUUUAAAAAUCAAAAGGGAUACAGAAGAUCACCACCCUAAUGAUAAUAAACAAGGAUACAGAACUGAAAGCGAAAGACUCACCACUCAAGGACGCAUCCAAGAGAUACAGAGUUCAAAAGAGCACUCCAAGAGAGCUUCUGCCAAUAUCCUCAGUUUUCUAAAAGUCCUUUCUAAGUCCUAAACACCAAAAUAAAUACUAGUGCAUGAAACAACCCUUCAUGCAUAGGGAAUUUCGAAAUUAAGUGUUUACAGC
rnacentral:lncRNA from 1 species